UACGGAGGGUGCGAGCGUUGUCCGGAAUCAUUGGGCGUAAAGGGCGCGUAGGCGGCCUUCUAAGUCAGACGUGAAAUCCCCCGGCUUAACCUGGGAACUGCGUCUGAUACUGGAAGGCUUGAGUGCGGGAGAGGGAUGUGGAAUUCCAGGUGUAGCGGUGAAAUGCGUAGAUAUCAGGAGGAACACCAAUAGCGAAGGCAGCUCGCUGGGACGUUACUGACGCUGAGGAGCGAAAGCGUGGGGAGCGAACAGG
rnacentral:rRNA from 1 species